rnacentral:rRNA from 1 species
AUGGGACGCAUGGACGUGAUCCAUGCAACCACCCAAUUGGUGGAAAAAGCACCCCCAUGCAACGUCGCCCAUCCCACCCAGACACAGCCGCUGGAACGUGAUAUGAGCCUGGAAUUAACUACUGCCCCAGUAAUCGGGGAUUCUAACAUGCUAGUCGACUCCACGGAGGGGAUGGCAGCUCAGGAAGCGAUUGCCUACGCGCGUCUGAAGAAGUUCUGCUCCAGCAUCGUCAAAACUCUUGCCCCCCCAUUGCUACGUGAAGUGUCGGUGCUUCGACCUGAGGCGGAACCGUUUACCCCCAAGCGCACUACAAGAUCUUCCAAGAGAUCGGCCGGAGCAAAUACCAUCAAGUCCAACAAGGUGGAGAGUGUGCUGCUGCGUGCUCUUGGGUUGGUGCCGGAAGACAUGACGGUGGAUGACGAGGCAGUCAAGGAACUCCAAGAGUUGUUCGACUCUCCACUUAGAGAACAACACGUGAGGGUCAUAGCGGCGCUAUUUGGCAAGUGUGUCCCAACCAAUGAGGAGCUUUCUCGUGGGACUGAGGUAGCGAUCGGCGUGCUAUGA